GGAGCCGAGCGCUGGGGCGUAGGGGACCGCGGCUUGGAAUUCCGGACGGCUGCAAGCCUGCUCAGGCUGCUUGUCUUCCUCCAUCGCCUUCUUUCGCUGUGCGCGGACCACACGGUGGGACCGUAGCGGCGAAAGCGACUGAGGUCUGGGCGCAGUUAACUGUAACCUCCUGGCGACCCUGCAAGAAGACGCGUUAUUACAAGAUACUGAAUAUAGUUCCCUGCUCUAUACAGGGAACACAAGUAAGAAUGGAGGGUGCUCUUCCCCCCGCCCCACCCCGAAGGUAACAAAGGAUCAAGGUUUUCUCCGUGAAAUAGCUGCAGAAUGUAAACUGAGGCUGCUGGCAUUUCCCUGAGAGUUUUACUGGCUCAGCUCAAGAACCACCUCCUCCAAGUUGUCUUCCUGGAUUUACUCAGCCUAAAGUAAUCCUUCUUUUUCCUAGCCUGGACUGUGAAGACCAAACCAGCUCUCCAACCGGACAGACAGCACUUGUUUUAUCUAAGGAAAGGGGACAGGACGGGCAGCGCUCACCUGUUUGACAGGGACGACUACGCCUCUUCACGGGAAUUCUCGGAUCCUUGAAACAACACUUUAAGGGCUCAGCACAAUGGACAUAGAAACAGCAGUGGUCGAUGACUGCAUUGAUCCAAAUUUGGAAGUUGUGUGGCAGAAGAACCCCACCACCUAACACACAGAAACGUCCAACUAGCUGAAGGUUCUGGAUUCUCAAGUGCUAAGGGAAUAAUGACUGGAGUGUGGGUUGGUCAGGAGAGGCCGCCUGGAGAAGGUCUCCAGCCGGAUGGUGAAGGGCUGGUAGAGUUUCGAUGGCAAGGGCUUCCCCCGAGUUGAGGAAGAGGGGUUGGGCACGAGCCAGAGCACACAGCGCCUGUAAUAAGCUAGAGGUGAGGCUAGAGGUUUCAUGCUUAGAGCAAAGCCUGGAAUUCCCCUCUCUUUUUCUGUCCAGAUGGUCAGAAAUAAACCACAGAGGUUCGAGAAACACAGAGAUCGGAAAUGUUCACUCUAGGAAAGUGCACUGGGCCAGAAGUGAAGAGCUACGAUCUCUGAUCCUGGUUCUACCACCGAUUUGUCCCAUAAUGGUGGGCAGUUCGUGUAAACCUUUUUUAGACCAUUUUCUUGCCAGUUAGACAGAGAUAGAUAUAUGAUCAGACUACCACACGGAGCUGGUGGGAGGAUUCAGUGAAAGCUUACAAAUAUCCAUCAAAUGUAAGUUACUGAGAUACUAUUAUUAAAAUGUACUAGUGGAGACACUAGUACAGGUCUUCCUUCCAUUCUCUUUGGCCUCUUUAGCCAACACUCAACAUGAAUUUCACGAGAGGUUGCUGGUUGCCUUUCUAAAAACAUAUUUAACCAGCUUCUUCAAAAUUUGAAGGUCGAAAUUCUAAACUUUGUAACAAUCUAAAAAGGAAUUUAAGGCAAUCUUAUGACACUGUUGCGGAGGUUCCAGGCUUCCUCUUAUAAUGCAUGGAAGGUUUUCAAGCAACUGUUCUCUUUGACUAGCCCAGAAAAAUCCUCCUUCCUUCAUCUCCUUGAAUCUAGCGUGCAUAUCUGAGAGAAUUCUGAUUAUAGUUUAUACAGUAUAACAUUGGUGCCUAAGGGCCAUUCCCUUAGCCAUUCCCUUUACACCUGUGUUGAAUGAAGGGGUUGGUGGAAGUUCAAAUCUGUGUGUUAACAUAUGACUUUAAUUGGAGACUGAAGAUGACCGCUUGUUAAUAAUUUGGCAUAUGAAUCAUUUGAAAAACAAAACACUUCUGGUGAAGAGAGGUGCUAGAAUUCAUCCUCAUCCCCUCCUCCUGAAUGUGUAUUUUACCCAAAAUCACACAGAUUUUCUGAACAAGUUUAACAGUGUGCUAUAACAUAAUUGCAAUAUUAUACCAGAAGCAUUAUCAAUGCUAAGUACUCUCCAGUUUAGAAUGCAUGAAUAAAUUCUCUAAAACUCUUGAGAAGAGUAUCCAUUUUCCCAGCUAAAUAAUCUUUAAGUUCAAAAGGUAAAAUGAAUAUUUCUUCUUAUAUGAAAUAUGGCUAUAUGUGGAAGUAGAGUUUUGAUAAGCAUUUGUGAACUCCCUGCUGGUAGAUUUAAAAACCUCCUUGGCAAUCGCAUGGCAACUAAGAAUACUAUGUCCCCUUCUACCUAGGGGCCAAGGCAUGGUGUUUGCAGAAUUAUGUAUCCAUUAAGGUAACAUUAGCUCUGUCAUUUUCAACAUUUGGCAUCCAAGGUCACCCUGGAUGCUGGCAACCAGCCAGUAGAUGGGAAAAGAGAAAGAGUAGAGAAGGCAUGUGAGCUUCUUAGACUGGCCUCAAUGUCACCCACACCCCUUCCACCAACAUUCCGUGGGAGAAGAUUUGUCAGAAAGGCCCCACCUAGAUGCACAGGGAACUGAGAAAUGGUAGUUCCUGUCUACAGAGCCACUUCCCAACCACAACUCAAGCAUGAUGGAAGGGCAAUACAGGUAUUUGGAGGCUAGCUAGGUGACUUUGUCGCAGUUGUACUGUGGCAGUUACUAAUUUCUUGUCUCAGCUCCAAACCUCCAGCCCCUGCUUUGUGAUGCUGGCAGUAGGGCACUACAAACCACGUUUCUGCUUUGUUGGCUGACUCUAUGUUAGGUUCUGCUAAUAGGGGGCAGUAGAGGGAGACAGCAAAGCUGGAGAAGGAAGAGACUUACUCCUACCUGUUUGCUUACCGUGGGUUUUCCUGUCUGUUUGUGGUUCCUGUAUCACCACAGCCUUUGCGUCGUCACCCUGGAAACAGCAGUGCCUUCCUAUAGCAUCAGCUGAAUCUGGUUGCAGUUUUUCCACCAUUUGGACGAAUCAGCUUCAUUGUGUCUGCUGAGAGACACCACCAACCACCUUGUGCCUCCCUCUUCAGAAAUCUGGGUCCAGCACCACAGGGACCUUCCUCCAAGCUCAGAGGUCUCAGUACCAGUUGGCAAGUACCCCCUUUUCAGAAGUCUGAGGUUUAGCUCCAGGGACCCCGUCUCCCAAGUUUUAGUAAUUCAACCACUUCUCUCCCCCUGCCCCCUGCCGCCUGCCCUGCUGCCUAAGGGUAAUAGCUGCUUCCUGCGGUUUUUACCUUUGUGAAACCUUAGAGAAGCCCUAUCCAAUAAAAAUAUAAUGUGAAUACUAGUCUUUAAUUCUCUAGUAGCCACAUUUAAAAAAAGUAAAAAGAAAUGGUGAAAUUAAUUUUAAUGAUAUAUUGUGUAUAACCCAAUCUGAUCUGCUUUCAUUUUAGCAUAUGAUCACUAUAAAAAUAAUUGAGAUAUUUUUAUAUGAAGUCUUUGAAGUCUGGUGUGUAUUUUACACUUACAGCACAUUUCAAUUUGGAGGGUAAAUUUCACCAGAAAUACUUGAUCUGCCUUAGAUUUCAUAAAAUUUACAGUUGAAAAUAUAGAUUCACCAGCUCACGUUGUUCCAAACAUACAUAAAAGUUUUCUAAUAACUGAAUUGAGUAUAAAUUUGUAACUUUUUAUUUGGAAAAAAUUGUGCACUCACAAGAAGUUGCAAAAAAUACUACAGAGAGGUUCUAUGUACCUACCACCCGGCUUCCCCCAUUAGUGACAUCUUCCAUGAUUUUAGUCAUUGUCAAAACCAGAAAAUUAAUUGGCACAACACAAUUAAGUAGAUUACAGACCCUAAUCAGAUUUCCCCAGUUUUUAUAUGCACUUAUUUCUUGGUAUGUCUUUGUGAUUAUAUGGCAUUUUAUUGCUUGUACAGAUUUGUAUAACCACCUCAGCACCACAAUCAAGAGACAGAACUCUUCCAUCACUACAAAGGAUAUUCCUCAUGCUGCCCCUUUAUUGUUACUUCUCCCCUCCCCUACACUGAGCCCCUGGCAACCACUUAUAUGUUCUCCAUCUCUACAAUUUUGUCCCAGAGUAAUGGAAAUAAAAACAAAAACAAACAAAUGGGACCUAGUUAAACUCAAAAGCUUUUGCACUGCAAAGGAAACCAUAACCAAAACAAAAAGGCAA